UUCUAGAAAGCUGGUGUGAGGCAGUGCAUCUCACACCACUGGACAGGGGCUCCCAAAACCUCUCUGCCUUUUGGAACCAUCUGAACUGCGAGACUUUGCAAGAUACUUCUCUUGGCAAAUAAACUUGGCAGAGCCCAGAGGACAGCUCUGUUAUCAUCAAACCUCCUGUGAAUGCAAGUGGAAGAAGAGAAGCUCCUCUGUUAAGUACUUCAAUGUGUGAAUGACACACUUUGGAGUUAACAACAAUCCCUGGAGUGGUGAUUCUCAGAAGCUCUAUGUGUGGAAAUCUUUCUCUGGGACAGAGAAGGAGCUUGAACCAUUUCAAGAACUGCAGAGGAAAGCAGAGUGUUCUCAUCACUAAAGCACUCAUGUUCCUACUUUCUGAACUCAGCCCAGGCCUUUGUGAAUAGUCUGUUUGCUAAGAUGAAGAAGAACCUUUCCAAUGGCUCCUCCAUGGAUUCAGCUGUUAGGAGUUUUUCUGCUUCACCUUGAAGUUACUGUGGACUUUAUAAAGCUCCAGUCUUUGCAGGCUUGACGGCUGGUCAAACUUUAUUGAGCCACUUAAAUUGAUUAAGGCUUGCCCAAUUUUGCAACAUCAUCUCUUAAUGCAAUGAAGCCAGUGACCUGACCACUUUGUGUCUGAAGAAGGGAAGCUUGGAACAUUAUCCAGCUGUUGAUAUGAUAGGUUCUAUAUUAGCAACGGUUUUUUUUUUUGUCAAGAAGGAAAUCCAAUAUGAAAAGCCCUGAACUUUUAUUUUCUGAGACCAAAAGGAGCACCUUGCAUACUGAGAUAUACUGCUGGAGAUGCUAAAAUGUCACUGUGAAGGCUGAAAAUAAUUUGCUUGCACAGCAAGAGCUCAGCUUCUGGAAAGAUUUGGCUUUGGUAUGAAAAUCAGAGCCUCUAUCACACAUUCUUCAGGCUAUACUCUGCCCAAAGCAGAACUUUUGUUUUUGUUCCUGAGGAUUUGAGUAAACUUUAGUGUUUUUAAUAAGUGUUUCUUGCUAAAGGUUUCAGAUGGAUAGGUUGAAAAGGGUAAAUUAUGACACAGUUUGAAAAUCCUCAGUUUUAGAUAGCACAAUGCUGUUACACAAAGUGUGAUUACCUGCAUUUAAGGUAUGGAAGGCAGCUAUUGGGCACAGAUAGGAAGAAU